rnacentral:tRNA from 1 species
GGAUUAUGGCUCAGCGGUAGAGUGCUCACCUAGCACAUGUGAGGCCCUAGGUUCGAUCCUCAGCACCA